rnacentral:rRNA from 1 species
UACGGAGGAUGCAAGCGUUAUCCGGAUUUAUUGGGUUUAAAGGGUUCGUAGGCGGGAAGAUAAGUCAGUGGUGAAAGCCUGCAGCUCAACUGUAGAACUGCCAUUGAUACUGUCUUUCUUGAAUAUAUAUGAAGUGGGCGGAAUACGUCAUGUAGCGGUGAAAUGCACAGAUAUGACGUAGAACACCGAUAGCGAAGGCA